rnacentral:rRNA from 1 species
UACGAAGGGGGCUAGCGUUGUUCGGAAUUACUGGGCGUAAAGCGCGCGCAGGCGGCUUGGUAAGUUGGGGGUGAAAUCCCUGGGCUCAACCCAGGAAUGGCCUUCAAGACUGCUUGGCUGGAGGACGAGAGAGGUGAGUGGAAUUCCCAGUGUAGAGGUGAAAUUCGUAGAUAUUGGGAAGAACACCGGUGGCGAAGGCGGCUCACUGGCUCGUUUCUGACGCUGAGGCGCGAAAGCGUGGGGAGCAAACAGG